UACCCGCUGAAAAAUUAAGCAUAUAAGUAGGCGGUGGAAAAUGAACCAAAUGGGAUUCCUUAAGUAAUUGCGAAUGAACAAGGAAAUGCUCAGCUUGAAAAAUGGGGCCUUUGGCUUUGAAUUGUAAUUUUGAAAUGUAUUGCCAAUGGAGGCGCAGGUGCAAGCCUAUUGAAAGAAAGCGUCAACGAGGGUGAAAUUCCUUUUUGUCAUUUGCAGUCCUCCGUGCACGGUAUAUAUUUGACGAGUCACACUCCUCGGCAUUGGAAUGCAAAGUGGGUGGUAAAUUCCAUGUAAAGGUAAAUAUAUUAUUGAGACUGAUAGCAAACAAGUACCAUGAGGGAAAUAUGAAAAGGACUUUGAAAAGGGAAUUAAAAGAGUCUGCAUUUGCUGAACAGAAAGCAAACAGAAUUGAUGUGCUUGGUGAGAUUGUUGUGCCCACUCUGUCAUUUAUGUCGGAUGUGGGUGCGAUGGUUCUUACCUUGAAUGUCAGCUUCUAUUUCUGCAAAUCAUUACCCUUGCACAUGAAUGGUAAUUUGCCUGCGGGUAUUGGAAUGUAUGUGUUUGCAAUGAUUUGUGAUUUGAUGCAUGUGGUUGGUGGACUUUGUAUGUGCUGUUUUGCCAACGGGGAAGGGACUCUUCCUUGAGCACUGCAAGCCCUUGCACAUUGAUGCUGGCAAAAUGUUUCUGCUUGACCCGUCUUGAAACACGGACCAAGGAGUCUAACAGAUGUGCAAGUGCGUGGGUGGCAAACCUACUAACACAAUGAAAGUAUUGGCUGGGAUAUUUGCACCAGCAGCCGACUGAUUAGCAGACAGAGGUUUGAGUUUGAGCAUAUCUAUUAGGACCCGAAAGAUGGUGAACUAUGCCUGAACAGAAUGAAUUCAGAGGAAACUCUGAUGGAGGUUCGUAUCGAUACUGACGUGCAAAUCGUUCGUCAUACUUGGGUAUAGGGCGAAAGAACUAUCGCCCC
rnacentral:rRNA from 1 species